rnacentral:misc_RNA from 1 species
GGGGAAGCGUGUGCGUACGGGAUUACGGGCAACAAGUGGACAAGACGGAUUCGUGGCCGCACACGCGGCCGAGCAUGCGUUUGGACUGUAAUUGGCAGGGGCGCAAGUAGGUUAAAAACGCUCACAAGGGAACAACUACACCACGACUGUAUCACGACUAUAUCUCGUCUGCUCGCACGUAUGCAACGACUAAUGCCUGCGUGUUUAACUAUGCCUUACCACCAAUGUCGCAAGAAACGCUGUUGCAGCACAAUGAGACGUCUUUAAGCUGGAUAGCGACCAGCUCCAAUUAUCCGUUUAACUGGUUGAUAUGUAGCACGGACAGGGGUUACGUAUGCACCGGUAACGAGUUCUGUACGUGGCGAGUUUUGAAGAAAAUAGAAAUAUAUUACGGUAGAAGGAACAGAGGAAACAUGUAAUGUAAAUCUUGGAGUUAAUGUUCCUGAAACUUGGCCUGGAAGGUGGAAGGAUAGCUGUGAUCGAAUUAAGGAGAAAUGUUAUUUGCAAGAAAAUAUAUAUGUAUAUAUAUAUAUGUAAUGGAAAAUUGUAUAUGCAAAAUGAUCCAAUUAAGUGUGAAAAUAGCGAGGAAUUUCAAGUGGAAUUUAUAUCUAAAUACUUGAUAUUUUUAUGUCUAGUUGAAGUCUUGCGUUUAAUUAAGUUUCUGAUGUUUGCAGAUUAAAAAGAUUAAGAAAUAUAAUAAUAAUAGGUGUUAGAAAAAAGUUAAUUUUUUUCUUAAAAAUUUCAUCGAAAAAAAUG